rnacentral:rRNA from 1 species
GAUGAACGCUAGCGACAGGCUUAACACAUGCAAGUCGAGGGGCAGCACAGGUAGCAAUACCGGGUGGCGACCGGCGCACGGGUGAGUAACGCGUAUGCAACUUACCUAUCAGAGGGGGAUAACCCGCCGAAAGUCGGACUAAUACCGCAUGAAGCAGGGGUCCCGCAUGGGGAUAUUUGCUAAAGAUUCAUCGCUGUUCGAUAGGCCUGCGUUCCAUUAGGCAGUUGGCGGGGUAACGGCCCACCAAACCGAGGAUGGAUACGGGUUCUGAGAGGAAGGUCCCCCACAUUGGGACUGAGACACGGACCAAACGCCUACGGGAGGCAGCAGUGAGGAAGAGUGGUCAAUGGGCGAGAGGCUGAACCAGCCAAGUCGCGUGAGGGAUGAAGGUGCUAUGGAUCGUAAACCUCUUUGAUGAGAGAAUAAAGUGCGGGACGUGUCCCGUUUUGUCGGUACCUGAUGAAUAAGGAUCGGCUAACUCCGUG